rnacentral:rRNA from 1 species
GAUGAACGCUGGCGGCGUGCCUAAUACAUGCAAGUCGAGCGAACGGACGAGAAGCUUGCUUCUCUGAUGUUAGCGGCGGACGGGUGAGUAACACGUGGAUAACCUACCUAUAAGACUGGGAUAACUUCGGGAAACCGUAGCUAAUACCGGAUACUAUUUUGAACCGCAUGGUUCAAAAGUGAAAGACGAUCUUGCUGUCACUUAUAGAUGGAUCCGCGCUGCAUUAGCUAGUUGGUAAGGUAACGGUAUACCAAGGCAACGAUGCAUAGCCGACGUGAGAGGGUGAGCGGCCACACUGGAACUGAGACACGGUCCAGACUCCUACGGGAGGCAGCAGUAGGGAAUCGUCCGCAAUGGGCGAAAGCCUGACGGAGCAACGCCGCGUGAGUGAUGAAGGUCUUCGGAUCGUAAAACUCUGUUAUUAGGGAAGAACAUAUGUGUAAGUAACUGUGCACAUCUUGACGGUACCUAAUCAGAAAGCCACGGCUAACUACGUG